rnacentral:rRNA from 1 species
AUUGAACGCUGGCGGCAUGCUUUACACAUGCAAGUCGAGCGGCAGCGCGGGGGCAACCCUGGCGGCGAGCGGCGAACGGGUGAGUAAUGCAUCGGAACGUACCCUGUAGUGGGGGAUAACGCCGGGAAACCGGCGCUAAUACCGCAUAUGCUCCAUGGAGGAAAGUGGGGGACCGGAAACGGCCUCAUGCUAUGGGAGCGGCCGAUGUCCGAUUAGCUAGUUGGUGGGGUAAAGGCCCACCAAGGCUGCGAUCGGUAGCUGGUCUGAGAG